GCUGGAUGUGGUGGUGCACGCCUGUAAUCCCAGUAAUUUGGGAGGCUGAGGCAGGAGGAUGGCAAGUUCAAAGCCAGCCUUAGCAACUUACUGAGACCUCCAGAAAUUUAGCAGGAUCUUGUCUCGA
rnacentral:sRNA from 1 species